CCGCCGGCCCCGCAGACCUCCCCACGCGCGGCUCGGGCCCCGGGCGCCGCGCGGGGUUGGCUCAGAGCCAAAGUCGCGUUCCCCGCUGCCCCCUCUCCCGGCUUCUGUCUUCUUGCUGGCCGGCCGCGGGGUCUCUGUAAGGCUCCGCCUGACUGCCCCGGGCUUCCCCUUGCUGCGGGGAGGACGGCGGCGCUUCCGGGAGGGCCGUGACCGCGGGGCGGGCCUGGCGCCCGGGGCCGCGGCUUCUCCCCCGCCGGCGCGCACCGCCCACUUGCGGGAGCCUUUCCUCCGGCUGCCGCGCCCUCGCCGCGCGCCUUCCAGGGCCGGUUCUCCCCAUCCCGGCUGCGUCAGGCUUUAUCGAAAAUGCGUCUUUGCUCGCCUCUCCUGCCUACGGAGUGGGCCGUGCGCUCCACGCUCUAUGAAGUCAUUACUCCCAGUCGUUACUAAGCUGCUCCCCCUGUGGCCCUAUGAAAGAUUCUCUCUGGGCCGGAGGCCCUGUUACCCUCAUUUUUGUGACCUGGAACGUGCAGAGGCUCCAUACACCCCGGGGAGACGGAGGGGAGAGAGUGAUCCCGCCUCCCACCCUUUUGGGGGACCUCACGAGUAUCCUCUGUUUGCUGUUUCAUUAUGCAAAACGCGGUCUCGUUUCGACAAGCUCGAUAGAAGCUUUCACGUUUUCAGGUUGCUGUAGAUCCGUUAACUCCUUGGGCUUCUGAAGGGAAGCCCACCCUGCGAGUUGGCUUUGGUCCGGGUCUAGCAUGUCACCCUAUUAAGGCUCAGCGAGCGCAAUGCCAAAGGCCAGAUGGCUCCAGCCCAGACUUGACCCUGGGGCUCGGUGCCGCCAGCCCAGCUCUGGAGGUGGCCUGUGUCCCCAUCUCCUACGCCUGCCACAUGGUUCUCAACCAAAAUCUCAGGAAAAUGGUAAAAGAGGGAAGAGGUGGAUGCCCAGCUUCUAUUUAAUUCUCUUCCAGAUUCUUCCUGGGCCCUGCCUGGCACAAGAGGUAUUGCUUAAGAAGGAGGCUCAUUUAAUGGAUGUUCAGUUACAUCCAAUGUUUGCCGGAGAAUAUUCCAGAGGGCAGAUGCCUGAAUCAUCAUGCAGCCAAUGCAGGCCAGAAGGACGGAUAAUAGUGAAACGGCACUGGACUGGGCCUCUGGGUCAAGUUCCCUUCUCGGUUAUGCCAACAAGGCUAUUAUACUCUGUACUCUCAAUGAGAGCAGUACUCUCUGGGCCUGAUUUUGCCCCCAGAAAAAUGAGACUCCUCUCCUGAAUACUCAACUUCAGAAACCACCUAUCCACAGUACAAUGCUUCUUCUGAGCCACUGCUGUGGGCCAUUCUGGGAUGAUAGCCUGUUCUUGGUCAGAGGACUCCCUUCAGGUUUCCUGGCUCCUGUCCUGAUGUGUCUAAUACCAUGUUGGGCCUGGCAAGGUGAGACAUGGGGAUUCACAGCAUAGGCCCUGGACUCGAAUCCCAGCCUAACCUUGAGUCAACUGAUCUUAAACUUCAGUUGUCUCACGUGUAAAAUUUGGGUUCGAAUAGUACCAACUGCAUAAGACUGUAAAAGACUUCAGUGAGAAUAAUACAUGUCACACACACAGUAAAUGUUCAAUUAAGAAAAGAGGAGCUGGGCAGUUAUUACACCCCAGGUACAUAGUAGAUACGAAAAAAUGUGUGCCAAAUAUAUAUAUGAAUAAAAGGUUCCUAUUGUGGGUUGAAUUGUGUUCC
ensembl:lncRNA